CUUCAACAAACAACGUGGUUGAAACAAAGCAGCCAAGGUUCUAAAUGUUUGAAAUAGCCCAGGACUAUCCUGAAGAGGGUUUAACAACAUCAAAAAUCCAAUAUAUUAAAGUUCCUAAGCUUCAAUAUGACAAAACUAAGAUGAAGAACUUAGCCCUAACUGUUGAUGUGGAGUUGGUGCUAAUUUGCUGCCACCCCCUUUCAUGAUGUUUUCAAUGUCAAGUAAUGCAUAUUAAUAGCUGGACCUGAAAAAUUGUCACUCACACCUGAGAGAAUUUCGCAGUUGACUGUUGUGAUGAGUAUUUGACUCAUUGAAUCUUUUUUUCAUAUAUUUCUUAGAACAGGCUGGUGAUUUCUGAGUUUCUUUGUGUCAGUCCAAUGUGCUAUGUGCAGAUGGGUUUGUUACAGCCAGCCGGUGAUAGGUGCUCUUCUUGCUACCUGUACCAGCUGUAUGUUUCAUAAACUCAACCAUACAAAAACACUUAACAGAAUGAAUGACACACUUCAGAACAAUGAAGGAUAAACAGCCUGGUGAAGUCUGAGCUUCUUUGUUGCUGCCCAAUGUUCACAUGGAUUUGACAUAAGCGGCAGGUUUAUCGUGUAAGUUUGCGUAGUUGCUGUCCGCUGUGGCUCGUUGUGCAGCCUAUGCUGGCGAAAGAUCUUUCUACAACAAGUUCAAUUGGUCGUUCCUUGGUGUCGUGUUACCGAAAUUGCAUCAUUAUUUUGCUAAAUUGUCAUCGUUACUACAGUUUAUAAGUUAAGAAGCUACAAAAACAAAUAUCGGAUGUUUAUGUCAAACAAAUAAUAAAUAUGUUUUCGGGAUUGGGAAAGGAAAGUGGAGGUGGGGGAGGAUAUUUCAAGUCGGGACAAAAAAUCAGUUAAUUUAUAAACCUACAAACAUAUCCCUACCAACUAAUCAGCAAACCCCACAAACUUAUACCUUCCAAUUCUUCAAACCCCACAAACAUACACCUACCAAACCCUAAAUUUAUGCCCUAAACCCCAUAAACCAAUGUUAAAACAUAACGAUGUAAAAUAUCUGUAAUAAAUAAA